rnacentral:rRNA from 1 species
GUGGGGAAUAUUGGACAAUGGGCGAAAGCCUGAUCCAGCCAUGCCGCGUGUGUGAAGAAGGUCUUCGGAUUGUAAAGCACUUUAAGUUGGGAGGAAGGGCAGUAAGUUAAUACCUUGCUGUUUUGACGUUACCGACAGAAUAAGCACCGGCUAACUUCGUGCCAGCAGCCGCGGUAAUACAGAGGGUGCGAGCGUUAAUCGGAUUUACUGGGCGUAAAGCGUGCGUAGGCGGCUUUUUAAGUCGGAUGUGAAAUCCCUGAGCUUAACUUAGGAAUUGCAGUGGAUACUGGGCAACUAGAGUGUGGUAGAGGGAUGCGGAAUUUCUGGUGUAGCAGUGAAAUGCGUAGAUAUCGGGAGGAACACCAGUGGCGAAGGCGGCUUCCUGGCACAAUACUGACGCUCAUGUGCGAAAGCUAGGGCAGCGAACGGGAUUAGAAACCCGUGUAGUCC